GGGUGCUCCAAGGAGUCGGAGGAACGCGGCCGCGCGACGGGCCCCGGACGCCGAGGGUGGUGCUUCCUCCGAGCCUCCGGUGGUGAGGCCGCUCUCAGAAGGUCAUGGAAGCGCAGGGGAGAGCGAGGCGGCCGAGCCCAGGCAAAUCCUCGAGAAAGGCCGAGUGCGCGACGGCUCUGCGGGGAGGACCGCGCCUCCCCGAAUGCGGCCGCUGCUGCCGCUGCAAACAGUGCCUUGAGGAGAGGAAAGCGGGGAACCGUGUUUUCGCCGCCUCUGUAACCACUGCACACAAGAAAACCAGCUUCUGGGAGAGGGGGAUGAUUGUUGGGACUUUGCGAAUUACCUAAACAGCCCAGGGCCGAGGCGCCGCCGCUCGCGUCCUGGUCCUCCUGCCGGGUGUGGGGCUCCCCUGCCCGAGAUGGCCAGCGGGCGCGCCGAGAGUAUCCUGGAGCCAUCUAGUCUUGCCUCGGAGGCGGGGUGGGCUUAUUUGUGCGGAGAAGAAACGGAUCUCUUAAUGGGGUGAGAUUUUUCCUCCGUACAUUGUUCCCAUUUCCGCAGUUUCACUUGGCCUCGGUUUUCUAGCAGAGUAAUCACCAAAUGAAAUUAGCUGGAGAGCGUUUGAUGGCGCAGAAUCACGGUCUGAAGAUGUUUACGCUGUAUGCCGGACGCGUUUGAUGGUGUUCUCUUCGGCACAAUUAAUUUUGCAAAGUUCAGAAAUGUGCCAGACAGAGCCCCUGGCACGCAGUCAGGACUCUACAGACACACCUUGAGUAGGAAACAGGCUUGUUUGUUUCAUCUGUGAUUUAUGUGAUGCACCAGCACCAAGGCCAACGUGUUUUUUAAAGACCUUUCGAUGAAACUCCAAAGCAAUUUAUAAAUUGGCAAAAUGAAGCUUGUUUUGUAAAAUAACUCUUCCUUGUUGAUCAUGUAAUUAAAUGGGCAACAAAACACCUGAAAGGACAUUUACUGAAAAGUAGACUCCCAAAACAAAAAUAUGUAUUUCACAGCUAGAUACGGUCGCUAUUAGCGUCCUAAUGGCCAACUCCAUCCAUGUGCGUAUUUUGAACACUAAAAACGCCUCCUGUUACCCCUAAGACCUUGUUUGGAUAACAUUUUUCUAUUAUAAGUACUCGAAACCAACCCCAUUUAAGAUGUUUACCCUUAUUCUUGAGUCCUUGAUGGUUUGGGAAAUUUAUCAUUAUUCAUAUUGCACAAUCCUGUCACUGUCUUUUCCAUUAGGCACAGUGCCUAAGGUCCACAAUAUUUUUAGAGGCCCACAAAAAAUAUUUUAAUUUCUUUUCAAAUCAGAAGGAAAAAAAAUUUAGGUUUAAGAAAGUAUUUUAAUAUAUAUUAAUAUAUUUGUUUUUGUGCUAAUACAAUCUUAAAAUGUAUGUAUAUAUGUGUGUGUGUAUAUGUAUAUAUAUUUUAAUGGAGUAAGGGGCUCAACGAAGGCAAAAAGGCCUAGAGCCCAAGAAAAACAUGAUGUGGCCCUGUUGCCUGGGGUUGAAAAAUCCCAUUCCAUGAGAAGAAUUUAGUUUUAAGAAUAUUACAUAAAAUGCUCAUUUCUGUGGCCUUGCUAUAAUAGAAAGAUGGAGAUUCAGAGUAGUGAUAAUGGCUAACAUCCACCUGAUACACACCAUGUGUCCAUUACCUCUUAAUCCUCACAGCACACCUGUGAAAUAGGUACUAUUCUCACACUUAGGGGGUAAUGCAGGUUUUGUGGGGCCUGCAAUUUAUGCAAUUUGGGUGGUCCUCUUAAAGAAAAAGCAAAUACUGUGUAUUAGUCCGUUCUCACACUGCUAUAAAGAACUGCGCGAGACUGGGUAAUUUAUAAAGGAAAGAGGUUUAAUUGACUCACAGUUCCACAUGGCUGGGGAGACCUCAGGAAACUUAACAAUCGUGGUGGAAGGAGAAGCAAGUACCUUCUUCACAAGGAAGCGGAAAGAAUUGUGAGCGGAGGAACUUGCCAAACACAAAACCGUCAGAUCGCGUGAGAAUUCAGUUACUAUCACGAGAACAACACGGGAAAACUGUCCCCAUAAUCAAGUCAUUUCUCUCCCUAACAAGUGAGGAUUACAAUUCAAGAUGAGGUUUGGGUAGGAACACAAAGCCUGACCCUAUCCCACAGCAUGUCCAGGCUGCCCUAGCACCACCCAAUAGAAGGGAAAAUGGCAGAGGGAAAGUCCUAGUGGAAAGAGACCUCAGUCUCAGCUAAUUGUGGUGACAAUAUAUUGCUUUUGCAAAUUGUACAUAAACAUAUGACCAGGUGAAUGUAUCGCCAAGGCUCCUGCCAAGGCCUGGGAUGGAGGCCUAGAGAAGAUGCCCGAAAGUUUAUGCUGUGUGAGCUUCACAGAAGACCUGCCUUCCAUGUAUACCCAUUUUACAGGUGUCUGUGCGGUGCAGAAACUGUACAACUGUAUACAGUGACCAUUUCUACUCUGGGUCUCUAAACAAGGGCUGGUAUCGUUACAGAGACUGAAGACUGAGGAAGACCAUCUCUGUAGGAUGCCAAGGAUUGACUGGAGAAAGUCUGGGGUCCCUCUACCUGGGAUGUGAUUCAGUACCCAAUGGUGGAGCGGUCGUUGAGGAAUGAAGACACAUACAAAGGGUAAAGGAGCAGAAUUUUCCACAAAUGAGUUCAUUUAUAAAGAGAAAGGCAAGCUUUGAUGACAACACCUUCACAAAAUGGAGGCCUUUGAAAACAUUGGUCUGGAUUGAGGAGUUGGAGAAGAAUGAAGUGCACAUCAACCAAACAGAAGAGAAGCAAUUUGGAGGAGGAAAAAAUCAGUUCUUCAUGAAAGGAUCACAUUGAUCUUGGUAAGUGUAAACUCUAGAUGCCCAUAUGGUUUGGCUGUGUCCCCACCCAAAUCUCAUCUUGAAUUGUAGUUCCCAUAAUCUCCAUGUGUUUUGGGAGGGGCCCCAUGGGAGGUAAUUGAAUCCUGGGGGCAGUUAUUCCCAUGCUGCUGUUAUCAUGAUAGUGAGUGAGUUAUCAUGAGAUCUGAUGGUUUUAUAAGGAGCUUUUCCCCACUUGCUUGGCACUUCUCCUUGCUGCUGUCAUGUGAAGAAGGACAUGUUUGCUUCUCCUUCUGCCAUGAUUGUAAGUUUCCUGAGGCCUCACCAUCCCUGCAGAACUGUGAGUCAAUUAAACCUCUUUCCUUUAUAAAUUACCCAGUCUAGGGUAUGUCCUUAUAGCAACGUAAGAACAGACUAAUACACCAUGUCAGUGAGCCCUCACCCUCUGAACAUACAAUCUACUAAUUCCUACUAAUUUCUUUUGCAGAGUCUCUCCAGCAAAAUAUCAAAUUUCCAUUGUACAAUUUCUUGUUUAAAGAGACUGUCAGUUGUUUAUGACUAUAUUCAGAAAUUUACAAAUAAAU
rnacentral:lncRNA from 1 species